GGGAAAAACACUUUUGGAUGUCUCAAAUGACUGGCAUGAAGCAUCACCAUGGGCUGUACUGUGAUCCCUAACACAAAACAUGAAAAAAUGGUUGCCUUUGACCCUCCUUUUUCUGGUCCUGAAGAGUACAAGGAGACCAAUUGGCUUGUGGCUUUAGUGGUUCUGGUCAGUGGGGCUGCAGGAAGGACUGCUGGCCUCACACUGGAGACCUGAAGAAGACAAGCUCUUGUACGGCUCUGGAGGGGAAACUGUUCAGGUGUUCUUCCUGCUCUGCUAAAGCAGCCUCUGGACAAAGCCAGGAGCCAGCCUAGCUGUGCUACGUGGAGGAUUUUGUGAACACAUGUGGAGAGUGAGAGUCUCUUAUGGCUUGUGUACAAGGCUGCAACUCUCUUCAUUUCAUUAUACACAGCAUGGGAAAGGCCUUCACAUAUCUGCUGUGAGAGCAGAGGAACAGGUUUCACUUCUUGCAUCACUGCUGAUACCUCAGGUGGUUCAAGCCCAGGCUUCUCCCUCAGCAUGCUGUCCAUACUGUAGCUGUUGAAUGGGGCAGCACAGAGCUACAGCCAUGACUCUGCUGUUUCGAGAGGGAUCUCCUCAAGCAACACCCACCACUGUGGAAGAUCAAGCAGACAGGAGAGGCGGGGAAGGCAGUAUCCCAGGGACCUGCCCCAAAAGGUGUAUCUUCCUGCAGGAACAUGCCCAGGCUUCAGUGCUAUUCACCUCAGGAGUGGUCAAUCACACCCCAAGCUGGACUGCUUAUGGAGCGGACUUGUUUUGAUAAAGAAAGGGUCUGCAGAAGUAUGUGCUUGAAUCACUAAACAUGUCCAGUUCUCAAGGAUGCCAACCAACUCGUUACUCUUUGUUUUGAUUCAGAUGAAAUAUUUUCAGCCUGUGGUUCGUUUCCAAAAAAACAAAACCAAAAAAAGCCUGAACAGAGCUGAGGCUGGAAUCUAAGUCCGAGUUAAUGAAGCUACCUCAAAGUUGAGAAGGAAGAGAAUAAACCACAGCUCUGAGGCACAGACCACUGGAGAUUCCUCUUUCAAACCCUGCCUCUGCUGCUCACUGGAGUUAUUUGAUUUGGGAACAAGAUAAGAAUUCACAACAUAUGAUUUGUAGAAAUAACCUGGAGGAAGGAAAAACAGUCAGAAAUACUAAUUUCAAAUAUCAUUUUCAUCUCUUGGUUUCCUAAUAGUCUUUCCCAGCUCUAAAUAUAUUAACCAAAUAUAAAGCCCAGACUUCAGGGAAGUUGUGCACCAACUGACAAAUGCAUCUCCAAAUAGCCCACAGUUCAGCACUUCUUAUUCUGUCAAUACUCUGUGACCAGGGAAGGUUUGGAGCAUAAUUCUCUCCCAGUUAUUCAUCUUCUCACUUUCUCCCUUCCCCCCCACCGUAAGAAAUACACCUGGCAAUUCAUUGCUGAUUUCCCAGGAGUGUUAUUCAUGCCAGUUUAUUUAUGUAUUUGUUAUUCAAGUGCAAACUAUUGAAGUUCCUUGUGGUAACCUGCAAAUCAAACUGAUAGAGACAGAGGGCUGGCUGUCACAUGAAGUACUGUGGAGCCAAACAUGGGCAUUGUGGCUGCUGUUGCCCCUAAGUGAGGGGAUGUGAGGAACAAUUCAGCCUGCCUGAUGCUCAGGACUGCCCAGCCCUUGGCUAGAGUUGGUAGAGAGAAGCAGUCAGCAUCCUUGCAUUAAGCAAAGUCUCUGCUAUGGAUGCCUAACCAGACAAGUAGU